CCAAUAGCGUAUAUUAAAGUUGUUGCAGUUAAAAAGCUCGUAGUUGAAUUUUAGGCCUGACCGGACGGUCCGUCUCUGGCGAGUACUGUUCUGCUGUCGGGUCUAUCCUUCUGGUGAGCCGGUAUGCCCUUUAUUGGGUGUGUCGGGGAACCAGGACCAUUACCUUGAAAAAAUUAGAGUGUUUAAAGCGGGCUUUUGCUUGAAUAGUUUAGCAUGGAAUAAUAGAAUAGGACGUUGGUUCUAUUUUGUUGGUCUAGGACCACCGUAAUGAUUAAUAGGGAUAGUUGGGGGCAUUAGUAUUCAAUUGUCAGAGGUGAAAUUCUUGGAUUUAUUGAAGACUAACUACUGCGAAAGCAUUUGCCAAGGAUGUUUUCAUUAAUCAAGAACGAAAGUUAGGGGAUCGAAGACGAUCAGAUACCGUCGUAGUCUUAACCAUAAACUAUGCCGACUAGGAAUCGGGCGACGUUAUUUUCAUGACUCGCUCGGCGCCUUAUG
rnacentral:rRNA from 1 species